rnacentral:misc_RNA from 1 species
GAUGAGAACGCAGCGAAAUGCGAUAAGUAAUGUGAAUUGCAGAAUUCAGUGAAUCAUCGAAUCUUUGAACGCACAUUGCGCCCAUUAGUAUUCUAGUGGGCAUGCCUGUUCGAGCGUCAUUUCAACCCUUAAGCCUAGCUUAGUAUUGGGAAUCGACUUUACUGUCGUUCCUCAAAUUCAACGGCGGAUUUAUAGCAAUCUCUGAACGUAGUAAUUUUUUUCCUCGUUUUUGAAAUACUAUAAACCUCAGCCGCUAAACCCCCAAUUUUUUUAUGGUUGACCUCGGAUCAGGUAGGAAUACCCGCUGAACUUAAGCAUAUCAAUAAGCGGAGGA